rnacentral:rRNA from 1 species
GAUGAACGCUGGCGGCGUGCCUAAUACAUGCAAGUCGAGCGAACAGACGAGGAGCUUGCUCCUCUGACGUUAGCGGCGGACGGGUGAGUAACACGUGGAUAACCUACCUAUAAGACUGGGAUAACUUCGGGAAACCGGAGCUAAUACCGGAUAAUAUAUUGAACCGCAUGGUUCAAUAGUGAAAGACGGUUUUGCUGUCACUUAUAGAUGGAUCCGCGCCGCAUUAGCUAGUUGGUAAGGUAACGGCUUACCAAGGCAACGAUGCGUAGCCGACCUGAGAGGGUGAUCGGCCACACUGGAACUGAGACACGGUCCAGACUCCUACGGGAGGCAGCAGUAGGGAAUCUUGCGCAAUGGGCGAAAGCCUGACGCAGCAACGCCGCGUGAGUGAUGAAGGUCUUCGGAUCGUAAAACUCUGUUAUUAGGGAAGAACAAAUGUGUAAGUAACUAGGCACGUCUUGACGGUACCUAAUCAGAAAGCCACGGCUAACUACGUG